UAGCGCCCCUAUUGAACCACCUAACUAAAGAUAACCGACCACAAUGGGUGACCCUAGAAAACCUAGCUAUUAAACCUUUCCUAGUCGCCAACCUGCUAUGGCUACCUAACAAGAGCAGACCACAUAUUCCGCUGAUACCGUUACAACUUCACCUAGCACUGCAAACUUGGGACUUACAUAGAACGAAAUUCGAAACGGCCCACCCCCUCUCAAUGGCGACACCCAUCGAGGCCAUCACGUAUUGCAUCCCCACCUUCCAUGCCACCCCAUGGAAAGAGAAAGGUAUCUCCUUCCUGUCCCAAGCCUAUGACCCAGGUGGACUAAUGAGCUUCGAGCGUCUCAGUAGAACCUACAACAUCCCACACACCUCACAAUACUCAUACAUCCAACUUAAAUCCUUCCUGCACAAACUCAACAAGGACAACAAAGUAGAAUCAAAUAAAAUGGGAGACCCCUCCACCUGGGAACAAAUAGGUAUCACGGGUAAAAUUCCUCCACUUUAUAAGCCACUCUCAAAUUGCUAUAAACUAAUUCUGCCAUACCAGUCCCUACCGGGCUCCACACAGGCAAACCAAUGGGAAAUGGACCUUCAAACCUCCAUCACUGACAAUCAGUGGAAAACUCUCACAUCCUCCGUUAGAAAGCUGGUCAAAUCUGCCUCCCUCAUGGAGCAAUACCAGAAAACAAUAUACAGGUGGUAUAUGGUGCCGCUUCGCCUACAUAAACUGUAUCCUCACUCAUCUCCGAUGUGCUGGAGAUGCAAACAAGAGGCGGGGUCAGUCC